AUCGGCCAUAUUGAAGUUAAAACUAGCAAAAUCUUUAAUAUACGUAAGGGUAUAAAGUACACAGUUUAAAACUCCUAUUCACAUGCCCUCACAAAAAUCAACACCCACACUUCUAAGGUUUUCCAUCUGCAGAGGUGAUUUCAAAAGCUUAAAUGCACACAAUUUCCCCAUAAAUUUGUGAUGUUUGAAAGCAAACCUCACAAUACAAAAUCGAAUACGUUGUUUUAUUUAUUUAUUUAUUUAAUUUUGCAAUAAUUUUAUUGAAAUAAAAUAGAGGAACUAUUCUUUCAAAGGCGAUAUUAUAAAUAUAAGUAUUUGUCUUUUACAAUAAAUAUGUAACCUACAGUCCUAUUCCGAGGAACCCUCACAACUGAUUUGGGAAGGACAAAAAGAUUUCAAAAUAUGAAAGAACAACCAAGGAACAGCUGCACCCUUUGGAAGAAUAGUUCCUCCAUUCCUCACAAUAGUGCGGGUGGUGAUCUUUGUGAGGGCAUGGGAAUAGCACUGUCACAGCCUUUGUACAUUUUACUUCCUUCUAAGGGUGUUCGUCCGAGAUGAGGAAGUUUCACCACAGACAAAUUAAAUGCAAAUUUCACCAGAGUUUUGCAUCAGGAGACUCGAAAAUAUCAGAAUUGAGCACUCUGUGCGUUAAAUGAGUAAAAUAUACUUACUAUGCGCAAACGUCUUUGUAUCUAAUUUAUAGAUGAUAGGUAUAUAUUUGAUAUAAAAGCAUAUCUUCUUCUUUAUUGGCGUAGACACCGCUUACGCGAUUGUAGUCGAGUUAACAACAGCGUGCCAGUCGCUCCUUCUUUUCGCUACGCGGCGCCACUUGGAUAUUCCAAGUGAAUCCAGGUCCUUCUCCGCUUGGUCCUUCCAACGGAGUUGAAGUCUUCCUCUUCCUCUGCUUCCCCCGGCGGGUACUGCGUCGAAUACUUUCAGAGCUGGAGUGUUUUCGUCCAUUCGGACAACAUGACCUUGCCAGCGUAGCCGCUGUCUUUUAAUUCGCUCUACUAUGUCAAUGUCGUCGUAUAUCUCGUACAGCUCAUCGUUCCAUCGAAUGCGAUAUUCGCCGUGGCCAACGCACAAAGGACCACAAAUCUUUCGCAGAACUUUCCUCUCGAAAACUCGCAACGUCGACUCAUCAAUUGCUGUCAUCGUCCAGGCCUCUGCACCAUAUAGCAGGACGGAAAUUAUGAGUGACAUAUAGAGUUUGGUUUUUGUUCGUCGAGAGGGGUCUUUACUUCUCAAUUGCCUACUCAGUCCGAAGUAGCACCUGUUGGCAAGAGUUUUCCUGCGUUGGAUUUCUAGGCUGACAUUGUUGGUGGUGUUUACGCUGGCUUCAAGAUAGACGAAAUUAUCUACAAUUUCAAAGUUACGACUGUUAGCAGUGACGUGAAAGCCAAGUCGCGGAGACAGGACAGGAGAUAUUUCAUCUUGCCCUCGUUCACUGCCUGACCCAUUUACUUUGCUUCCUUUUCCAGUCUGGAGAAAGCAGAACUAACGGCGCGGGUGUUGAGCCCGUUGAUGUCAAUGUCAUCGGCAUACGCCAGCAGCUGUACACUCGAUUAAGUCCUGCAGCUCGAAUUGCUCAACGUCAGUUUACACAGCUGUAUUAGUUCUGCGGGGAUACCAAAUUCAGACAUCGCGGCAUAAAGGUAGCUCCUUUUCAUGCUGUCGAAAGCAGCUUUGAAAUCGACGAAGAGGUGGUGUGUGUCGAUUCUCCUUUCACGGGUCUUUUCCAAGAUUUGGCCCAUGGUGAAUAUCUGGUCGGUUUUUGAUUUGCCAGGUCUAAAGUCACACUGAUAAGGUCCAAUCAGUUUGUUGAUGGUGGGCUUUAAUCUUUCACACAAUACGCUCGAUACAACCUUAUACGCGAUGUUGAGUAGGCUUAUCCCACGGUAGUUGGCGCAGAUUGUGGGGUCUCCCUUUUUGUGGAUUAGGCAGAGAACACUUAAAUUCCAAUCGUUGGGAAUGCUUUCGUCCAACCAUAUUUUACAAAAAAGCUGAUGCAUGCUCCUUAUCAGUUCUUCGCCGCCGUGUUUGAAUAGAUCGGCCGGCAAUCCAUCGGCCCCCGCCGCUUUGUUGUUUUUCAAACGGGUAAUUGCUAUUCGAACUUUUUCAUGGUCGGGCAAUGGAGCGUCUGCCCCAUCGUCAUCGAUUGGGGAAUCGGGUUCUCCUUCUCCUGAUGUUGUACGUUCACUGCCAUUCAGCAGGCUGGAUAAGUGUUCCCUCCAUAAUUUAAGUAUGCUCUGGGCAUCGGGGACUAGAUCACCUUUGGGGGUUCUACAAGAGUAUGCUCCGGUCUUGAAACCUUCUGUAAGCCGCCGCGUAUUUUCGUAGAAUUUUCGAGCAUUACCCCUGUCGGCCAGCUUAUCAAGCUCUUCAUAAACACGCAUUUCGGCCUCUUUCUUUUUCUGUCUGCAAAUGCGUCUCUCUUCCCUCUUCAACUCUCAGUAUCUAUCCCAUCGCGCACGUGCUCUGGUCGAUCGUAACGUUGCGAGGUAGGCGAUCUGUUUUCUCUCCUCUGCGACACGGCACUCCUCGUCGUACCAGCUGUUCUUUUGUAUUUUCCGAAAACCAAUGGUUUCGGUUGCAGUUGAACCUAAGGAAUUUGAAAUGCCGUCCCACAGUUCCCUGAUACCGAGUUGUUGACGAGUGCUCUCAGAGAGCAGGAGUGCAAGCCGAGUAGAAAAUCGUUCGGCUGUCUGUUGUGAUUGCAGCUUCUCGACGUCGAAACUUCCUUGUGUUUUUUGACGUGUGUUUUUUGCUGCACAAAGGCGGGUGCGAAUUUUGGCUGCAACAAGAUAGUGGUCCGGGGCGAUGUUAGGACGUCGGAGCGUACUCACGUCUAGAACACUGGAGAUGUGUCUUCCAUCUAUGACAACAUGAUCGAUCUGAUUGGUGGCUUUUCGAUCCGGAGACAGCCAGGUAGCUUGAUAUAUUUUCGUGUGCUGGAAUCUAAUACUACAGAUAACCAUAUUUCGGGCCCCGGCGAAGUGGAUCAGCCUCAACCAAUUUGGGGAUGUUUCGUCGUGGAGGCUGAAUUUACCGACCGUAGUGCUAAAUAUACCUUCUUUGCCCACCCUGGCGUUAAAGUCGCCAAGCACGAUUUUGUCAUCGUGGCGGGGGCAGCGCUCAUAACUGCGCUCCAAGCGCUCAUAGAAGGCAUCUUUGGCCAUCGGCCUUCUCUUCCGUCGGGGCGUGGGCGCAAAUCAGCGAUAUGUUGAAGAACCUCGCUUCGAUGCGAAUUGUGGCUAGGAGUGAAUGAGAGUACUCGGCGACGGAGUCUGCCUCCCACCACGAAUCCCACACCAAACUUGUAGUAAAUGCCAAAAGGACCUACUCGUCUCUGUCCUUGUCCCGUAAAUCGCAUUUCUUGGACGGCGGUGAUGUCAGCCUUUAUUUUCACGAGGACAUCAACCAGCUGGUCAGCGGCACCUUCCCAAUUAAAGAGGUCUCUCAUCCGAGCUUGAUUGUUAAUUUUCAUUGGUAUGAUUUUUUUGCGUUGCGGGUCCCAAACCUAGCGCACAACCCUGCGGAGAGGAUGUUUCACCUGCUUACUUUAGCUCGCCUUCAAGCGGAUGUUCUUAGGUUACCCAGAGGAUACUUGGUCAAAGACCGGAAGUAGUGAGCUGCUUGAGUCAUAUGUAAAAGAAUCGUUUCUGGCCACUCCCAAGUGAAUGGCGAUCAGAGAACUUUCCUCACUUGCGUGAACUUCUACACAUGACUCCAUCCUCCACAUCAAAGCAUAUACUAAAGUAUAGUAUAUAUGUAUGUUAUAAUUGACCUAUUUCAUUAUGAUUCCAUAAAAACUUUUGAAAUAUUCAUUGAUUAAUGUCGUUUGUAUUAUUACCUAAGUAUA